rnacentral:rRNA from 1 species
CGCCUUGCCAGCCCGCUCAGAACUCAAAGGAAUUGACGGGGGCCCGCACAAGCGGUGGAGCAUGUGGUUUAAUUCGAUGAUACGCGAGGAACCUUACCUGGGCUCAAAUGUAUGUUGACGUAUUCUGAAAGGGAUACUUCUUCGGACAAUAUACAAGGUGCUGCAUGGUUGUCGUCAGCUCGUGCCGUGAGGUGUCGGGUUAAGUCCCAUAACGAGCGCAACCCCUAUCAUUAGUUGCCAUCAGGUCAAGCUGGGGACUCUAAUGAAACUGCCUACGCAAGUAGUGAGGAAGGUGGGGAUGACGUCAAAUCAGCACGGCCCUUACGUCCAGGGCUACACACGUGCUACAAUGGCCGGUACAAAGGGCAGCUACCUGGUGACAGGAUGCUAAUCUCAAAAGCCGGUCUCAGUUCGGAUCGGAGUCUGCAACCCGACUCCGUGAAGUCGGAAUCGCUAGUAACCGCAGAUCAGCUACGUUGCGGUGAAUACGUUCCCGGGCCUU